rnacentral:rRNA from 1 species
UACAGAGGGGGCCAGCGUUAUUCGGAAUUAUUGGGCGUAAAGAGCUCGUAGGCGGUGUGUCGCGUCGGCCGUGAAAACCUGCAGCUUAACUGUGGGCUUGCGGUCGAUACGGGCAUCACUGGAGUUCGGCAGGGGAGACUGGAAUUCCUGGUGUAGCGGUGAAAUGCGCAGAGUAUCAGGAGGAACACCGGUGGCGAAGGCGGGUCUCUGGGCCGAUACUGACGCUGAGGAGCGAAAGCGUGGGGAGCGAACAGG